rnacentral:tRNA from 1 species
GGUGCCAGAGUGGUUAAUGGGUAAGACUCGAAUUUCACCUCUGAAUUUCGGCCAUCUUAUGGCUUCGGCCGCACAAGUUCGAAUCUUGUCC